AGACUUACGUCCCCUUGCCCCCCAGAAGAGAUUGGACAGAUCAAAUCUUCUACAGACUUUUAUUUGGACUUCAGAGGCUUCUUACCAGAUGGGCUGUUUCAUCGGUUGAUGGCGAGAACAGUCAGAUGGAUACGUGAAAGAGAUGGAGAACCAGUCACUCUUUUCCAUCGUCACAUCAGUCUAAUGGUUGAUGGAGUGCAUCAUGCCUUAAUAGAGAUGUUACCUCCUUGUGAAGCAACUAUCAAGGUCAUUGUAUAUCAAGGACCGGUUGCAGAUCCUGAUAAUGAUGGGGAUAGCAAUACACCUCCAGU